rnacentral:rRNA from 1 species
CCCUUAGAUGUUCUGGGCCGCACGCGUGCUACACUGAUGCAUUCAACGAGUCUAAAACCUGGUCUGAUAGGGCUGGGUAAUCUUUUGAAAGUGCAUCGUGAUUGGGAUAGAUGAUUGCAAUUCUUCAUCUUCAACGAGGAAUUCCUAGUAAACGCAAGUCAUCAACUUGCAUUGAUUACGUCCCUGCCCUUUGUACACACCGCCCGUCGCUUCUACCGAUUGAAUGUUCCGGUGAGCACUUUGGAGUUGAUUGAUUUUUGAGGCAACUCUGGUUGAUCUGCAAAGUUGUGCAAACCUUAACAUUUAGAGGAAGAAGAAGUCGUAACA